AUUAAUUAUAGAUAUCUUCCUCGUACUUUUAAUACUCGAGCAGAUUGUUUAGCUAAAAAAACUCGGGCUCGAAAUAAUAUUUUCUCCCAUGUAUGCACAUCAGUUCCUGAAUGACUCUUUCUAGCGGAGAAUUUCUUCCCGAUAAGUUAAUAUAAAUAGUGUUUGUUGAAAGAAAAAAGAAUGUUAUUAAUCUAUUGUAUAUUUAUAUGUGAUUGAAAAAACAGUUCGAAGAU
rnacentral:sRNA from 1 species